rnacentral:lncRNA from 1 species
UAUCAAUUCACUCAACAUGGGCCUCUGGAUAACAUCAUCAGCGCCAUAGUUAUUAUCUUUGCCAGCAUGAGCAUAGUUUCUUCUCCAACUUAAUCUGUUGUUAUUAGGCAACCUACCAUUCACAUGAAUAAACAGCCCGAAAUUUUGAAAAAAAAAAAUUAACAGAAAGAAAAUGUCAAUAAAUAAAGAUCGAUGUGAUUCUCAGAAGAAACUAUCAAUCGAGUAAAAAUUCACAAAGCCUAAGCGCAUACCUGACGUUGGAAGCGAUCCUAGAAGCUAACCGUAACAUAACUACGUGGAUGUCAAAGAGAAUAAAAGAGUUGAGUUUGCUGAAUUUUUUUUUCUCUUACGUAUUA